UAUCCAUCUAUCUCCAAAACAUUCAGACUUGAUAUGUAUGUUGAAUCAUUAAUCGUUUGGUCUUCUUAAGAGAGGUAUGUAUUCGUUUACCCUCACAUGACAAUCGAUAGAUACCUAUAGAGUUAGUAGUAACAUGGAAAAGUUUUCACGAAAAAUUAACAAAUUUGUUUAGUUUUUUUUUUUUACGUCGAACGGCCAACAAAUUUGUUUAGUUAAGGUCUGUCAUUUCGAAGUUUUUAUUUGUAACAUAUUUUACCUUUCUUCUUAGUUGAAGUAUUAAAAUGUUGUUCGCUACGAUAAGGCACAUUUUCGGAUUAACUUAGGAAUGACAGUUAUUAAUUAACUUAUCCGAUAACUUGAUCAUGUUAACUUAUUAGUUAACCAUCUAUCACCCUU
rnacentral:lncRNA from 1 species